UGCUGGAGCUGCUGAGCAGGGAGAAGCCCCACUGGGAGCUUCCCGCCAUGGCCUUCCUUGUGGAGGUCCUCGACUGCCUGGACAUGACCGAAUGGAGUGAGAGCUUCCUGGAGAUCCUUGCAAGGCACCUCCAGAGCGAGUGCCCAGAGAGGCGUCGCCUGGCACUCAGAGGCCUCGUGGUGCUCAGCAAGGAUCCUGUGAUGGCUGACGACGUGUGGACCCUGACAGAAAGCCUGAUGGACAU